rnacentral:rRNA from 1 species
AGUGAACGCUGGCGGUAGGCCUAACACAUGCAAGUCGAACGGCAGCACAGUAAGAGCUUGCUCUUACGGGUGGCGAGUGGCGGACGGGUGAUGAAUACAUCGGAAUCUACUUUUUCGUGGGGGAUAACGUAGGGAAACUUACGCUAAUACCGCAUACGACCUACGGGUGAAAGCAUGGGAUCUUCGGACCUUGCGCGAUUGAAUGAGCCGAUGUCGGAUUAGCUAGUUGGCGGGGUAAAGGCCCACCAAGGCGACGAUCCGUAGCUGGUCUGAGAGGAUGAUCAGCCACACUGGAACUGAGACACGGUCCAGACUCCUACGGGAGGCAGCAGUGGGGAAUAUUGGACAAUGGGCGCAAGCCUGAUCCAGCCAUACCGCGUGGGUGAAGAAGGCCUUCGGGUUGUAAAGCCCUUUUGUUGGGGAAGAAAAGCAGCAGGUUAAUACCCCGCUGUUCUGACGGUACCCAAAGAAUAAGCACCGGCUAACUUCGUG